rnacentral:rRNA from 1 species
AUUGAACGCUGGCGGCAGGCCUAACACAUGCAAGUCGAGCGAGCGGCGGACGGGUGAGUAAUUUCUGGGAAACUGCCUGAUGAAGGGGGAGAACUACUGGAAACGGUCGCUAAUACCGCCUACCAUCAAAUGUGCCAAGAUGGGAUUAGCUAGUAGGUGGGGUAGUGGCUCACCUAGGCAACGAUCCCUAGCUGGUCUGAGAGGGUGACCAGCCACACUGGAACUGAGACACGUGCCAGACUCCUACGGGAGGCAGCAGUGGGGAAUAUUGCACAAUGGGCGCAAGCCUGAUGCAGCCAUGCCGCGUGUGUGAAGAAGGCCUUCGGGUUGUAAAGCACUUUCAGCGGGGAGGCGUUACCCGCAGAAGAAGCACCGGCUAACUCCGUGCCAGCAGCCGCGGUAAUUC